UUUGACGUAUUCAUUCAACUUUUGUCCAACGGAGCAUUGUUGCGAGUUUUCUGCGACCGUUGGAAGUGUUUGUGGAUUUCGGACAACUUUCGAAUAAUUAUUAGUGUUUAUUGCAAAGAAAACUAUUUAAAGUAGUUUUUUAACUAUCUACAAUGGUUCACCAGUGCAUAGUUUGUUAAAGGUGGACUAUUCUAACUCCUGAUUGAUAUUUGGACGUUUUGGAACCCUUUACACUUUUACCCACACUUACCUAUACACCCAUACACACGCACACAAUUCACAGACGAGUACAUAGCUGGUGUUUUAAAUAGAGGAAAAUAAACCUUGGAAAAUUUUUCCUUUAGCGUUCCUAUAAUUACUGAGCUUAGACAAUGAUCGAUUUCACUCUUGAAUUUGAAAAAUCAAACUAAUGUGUGUCCAAAUUUGUUCUGAUGAUUUUGAUAAGAGCAAUAUUAUGAUCCCGAAUUAACUGAUCGAAGGCAAAUAAGACCAAAUUCUGAGCCUCAAAUAGAUAGUACCAUUUUUGCUGGGGCUUUAUCAUACAGGUUUUCUUCUAGUUUGUACCGCCACCCAAAAAAUGUUUUAGGUAAAUGAACCUCCAGACCAGCUGAGGGACUAGAGAAGGUCCCUACCUAGUCCCGCGAUUGGCAGUUUGGCUGGCCCCUCAAAUUUGAUUUUGCCUAAAAUCAUACAAGAUAAACUAGCCCUUCUCAAGAAGCCCUUCCCUCAAAACAACAGAAACGGCAUUGGAAAAAGAAGUUGGAAUUAACCAGUAUGUGCUCUUUCAUAGUAAGACAAUCCUCAUCUUCUGAUCUCCCAAUAGUUGGAUAUUUAUUAUCUCAAGAAAGUCGUCAAAGUAUCAGAAAAAGAAAGAAGUAUGUUAAUGAGGCAUUAUAAUGAUAUUAUGUAGAAAUUUAAGUCUUUGGAAAUUUGGAAACAAAAUUUGGAAACAAAGAAAAUGAAAAAUACAUACUUUACAAAUAGGUCUUAGAAGAUUGAAAAAUAAAAUAAUAUAUAUGCAUCAGUUAAUUGAUUACUUAAAAGAAAAAUCUUUGAUAAGUGAAUCAACUGAAUUGACGAUUCAGGUUUCCUUAGCUGAACCAGUACAAAGUAUUUUUGAAAGAAUGUUAAAAGGACCUGCCACACAAAAAUCCAAUCUUCUGCUACUAUCCUUUGCUUUAACAUUGUCAUUUUAUUUGCCGAAAACAGAAUUUUAUAAGGGAUACAUAAACUGGCCCAGAGUUUUCUUAGGAGGCCUCUAAAUUCCAUUUAGUUUUCAACAAUAUUGUUGAUAUUUUUAACUCUCAGAAUAGAUUUACAAAAUAUUCAUAUAAAAAAAUUAUCAAAAAUAUAAGAACAACAUACUUUUUAAUAAUUUUGAAAUAAUUAAAUUGUAUAUUAUUGGACUUACUUUAAAAGAAAGGUCAACCAUAGUCACGAAGAAAAACGGGAUUUUUGGGCUUUCUAAUUUGUAUGGAAAGCUUACAACGUAUGUAUAAAUACUAUGUAAAAGAAAAUCAAUUAUUAAAAUAUAUUUUAACUGGUGGAGGUCCACGUAUACAAAAAGCAAAAACGGAAGAUAAUAAUAUAUUCAAUCAAUGUAAAAAUGAGAAGAGCAUUGUGGGAUUAAAAAACAUGAUGGUGAUAGAUUGUCUAAAACUAAUAGGAGUACUGGUAUUUCUCAAAACAAAACUGAUGGUUA